CCUGACGACAAUAGCGAGUGGGAACCACCUGAACCCAUGCCGAACUCAGAAGUGAAACCACUCAGCGCCGAUGGUAGUGUGGGGUCUCCCCAUGUGAGAGUAGGUCAUCGUCAGGC
rnacentral:rRNA from 1 species